rnacentral:rRNA from 1 species
UUGGGGUGCUCGAGUGGCGAACGGGUGAGUAACACGUGAGUAACCUGCCCUUGACUUUGGGAUAACUUCAGGAAACUGGGGCUAAUACCGGAUAGGAGCUCCUGCUGCAUGGUGGGGUUGGAAAGUUUCGGCGGUUGGGGAUGGACUCGCGGCUUAUCAGCUUGUUGGUGGGUAGUGGCUUACCAAGGCUUUGACGGGUAGCCGGCCUGAGAGGUGACCGGCCACAUUGGGACUGAGAUACGGCCCAG